rnacentral:rRNA from 1 species
UACGAAGGAGGCUAGCGUUGUUCGGAAUGACUGGGCGUAAAGCGCACGUAGGCGGCAAGUUUAGUCAGAGGUGAAAUCCCGGGGCUCAACCCCGGAACUGCCUUUGAUACUGGCUAGCUAGAGUCCGGAAGAGGGUGGCGGAAUACCCAGUGUAGAGGUGAAAUUCGUAGAUAUUGGGUAGAACACCAGUGGCGAAGGCGGCCACCUGGUCCGGUACUGACGCUGAGGUGCGAAAGCGUGGGGAGCAAACAGG